rnacentral:misc_RNA from 1 species
UGAUCAUAGAAUUUUUGGAAUGAAAGCUUGAAGUUAGUAGAAUGAGGGCUUAAUCGAACUUUAUCACCACCUGCAGUCUCAAUGACAGAUUUCUUGUUAUUUUUCAAAGGCGGGAGCAGUCUUCCAACCAUAGGGUACAAACCAGCAACAAGAACAGCAUGUAGUAUGCCUGGAUCCUGUGCGUUAAGGUUACAGGAAGAUCCAUCUCCGGGAAUAA